GAUUCUGUUGUCAGGGUGCUGCUCUACGGUUAUCAAGGUGUUGCUAUGUGGUUUACAAGGUUAGGGUUAGGGUUAGAGUUUAAAACCAUGUGUGGGUGUCAAGGUGUUGCUAUCCGGUUGUCAAGGUGUUGCUGUGCUGUUCUCAGGAUGUUACUUUUUCGGGUGUCAAGGUGUUGCUGUGCGGUCAUCAGGGUGUUGCGAUGCUGUUGUCAAGGUGUUGCUGUGCGGUUUUGAGGGUGUUGCGAAGCUGUUGUCAAGGUGUUGCUGUGUGGUCAUCAGAGAGUGGCAAUGCUGUUGUCAAGGUAUUGCUGUGCGGUUGUCAGGGUGUUGCGAUUCUGUUGUCAGGGUGUUGCGAUGCAGUUGUUAGGGUGUUGCGAUGCUGUUGUCAAGGUGUUCAAAUUGAGAAACACUGAAGACUGUCAAAGGCUGUGAGGCUGAAGGGUGGUUGUAAAGAAUUUUUGUUAUUGUACAGUGUGUCUGUAACAGGCAGUUACUGUAUAUUUUGUGUGUCCGAUGUGUCUGAUUGUGUCAUUCGUGUCUGUUGAGGGUGUGACUCUCAGAACUGUUGCGUGAGACUCACACUGUUCAGACUCACAGAUGGCUUCAGUUCUUCAUGUGAGCAUGCACAGCUGCAGACGAGCCACCCGCUGCUUCACGUCCCCAUUCCUCCGUCUGUCUUCUCCAGAACCUGAAUUACAAAUAAUUCAUUAACAAUUUCAUUCUUUAGAAAAAAACAUCUUUUUAUGCAAAUAGA
ensembl:lncRNA